ACAAGGAAGCGGGGGAGGGGAGGGGAGGAAGCCAGGCAAUGAAACGCGUUCAGCUCGAGUCUACCCUCAGCCCCAUGGGGAAGGAGGUCUGGAGCGUCAAUGACUCCAAGAGCUGCCCCACCUUGAGGCAAGGGGUGUGGGCUUUCAAAUUCCUGUUUCAGUCCGCCAUUGGUUGAGGCCACCUCAAGGAGGAAGGGGGUUAUUUCCCAGGUAUCUCCAGGCGACGUGACUCCCAAGCACUGAGGACAAUUCUUAGGGGAUGUGUAUAGUCAAGGCAGCCAGAGAUAGCUCAUAGCACCUGCUACAGGCAGAUCUGGCCGGGGCACCCUUGGCACCUGCCCCAGGUGGGCAUGACUACCCACUGAGACCUCAUUCUAUCAUUUUUCCUGCCGGCUGAGACCUACACCCCAGAUCAGGGAAACAAGAAAACGCACCGCGUUCCAGUAAGCUCUUGAACAUCUCAGAAGAUAACUACCUCGCCAGGGUUCAGGCGGAAAGACGACUUGGUGCCUGGCAGCCCAGGUCUACGAGAAGAAGGGUCAAGUUGAGAACAGCAGAGGGACCAUUUUUGCCUUUAUCCUGUGACGUGACACUAUUCCACAACAUCUAUCUCUGGAUAAGUAUCCACUAGAACAACACUGCUCAAGGAGUCCCAUGGAAGGAUGUUCAUGGUGGAAUGAACCAAACUGCCCAUCGCCAGGGAAAGGGGGAAAUGGUUUUCCUGCCUGGGAUGGAGAACAUUUCAUUAAAGGAACCCAGAGAUGCGAAAGGAGGGAAGGGAACCCUGGCAGGACUGAGAAUAUUUCCUGGCAGCUCCAAGGUGCCACCCAGUGUUUGCUUCCUGUUUGCCGAUGAGCCGUGAGCCAAAGCAAGCAACGUGGCCAAGCCCAGAGUCAAUAUGGGAGAGCCUGGACACUGGGUAAUAUGACUCACUGCAGCCAUUGAUGGAACAAGUUAGCACACAUGCCUUUCUUAUCCCACUGGUGAUGUUGUUGACGACUGGCUUGGAAGAGAAAUGCCUUUACCGUGACAAGUGAGCACUUCGUUGCACUCUGGGAUGAAACUCUGUCCCUAAGUUACCAUGUUACCUAUGACUCAGUUAAACUCCUUUGGCCACCUCAGUACCCAAAUGGCUGUUACUUCCUGUGUGCUUCCGAGUUUUCUCUGUCCAAGCUCGUCAGCAGUUGUUACCAUGUCUGCGUCUCCACGUUUGUGGCUCUUUGUCUCUCACCUCCUGGGGCCAUUGGAUUCUUCCUUUUCUUCUCCCCAUUCCUUUGGCUUGGCUAAAACACCCGCAGGAUGGAAGGGGCAGAGGGAAAGGAACUGGGAAAGAGGAUACUUCAGAGUCAAUGGAGAAUUCAAGGAUCAGACCCUUCUCGGUGGGCCGUUAGAUAUUAGGAAAAGUAGUUCUACUGAAUUGGGUUUUCCCCAGACGAAAUUGUACAAACUUUCUUAGCAUCAUGCAGAUUUUCCUUUGUAGAUGCCUGUCACCAGAGAAAAAUGCCAUUGUGUUGUGUCAUGCUGAUGCCACGCUGAUACUGGUAACCCUAUCAGCCUGCAGCGAGACUACGGAGUCAGAACCCAAGAACAAUGACUUUUGGCAUCAUCUUCCCGCUGGUGACUGCAGGAACAUAAACUCCCUGGGGACACGCAGGGGCUCUUUUGGUCUUGUUGAUGGCUAUAUCCACACGGGCCGGCAUGGGGGCAGAACCUAGAAGGUAUCCAAUACCUGAAUGGACACAUCUCUGAGAGGAAGACUCAGAAAUGACAAGUUUUCAUCUCGAUGUGACUCCAGCUUUCUGACAUGUCUUGGUCCAAAGAGCCUCUGCACGUCUCUCCAGAGGCAGGCCUGGAACUUGCACCUGUGACGGCCACAUCACUUUGCCCGUGGCUUUCCCCGGCUGUCUCUCCUGGGACAAUGAAUCCAGUGUGUUUGGCAAAUGAAGAUUUUUUUUUUAAGUUUAUUUCUCUUAUUUAGAGAGAGAGAGAGAGAGCAGAGGGGCAGAGAGAGAGAGGGAGAGAGGGAGAAUCCCAAGCAAGCUCCACACCGUGAGCACAGAGCCCGAUGCGGGGCUCGAACUCACCAACCUCGAGAUCAUGACCUUAGCUGCUAUCAAGAGUCGGAGGCUGAACUGACUGAGCCACCCAGGUGCCCCCGAAGACUUUUUUUUUUUUUUUUAAGAGACUGGAUACCUGCCCAAUCUCCUUUGCAAUUGGAGAAGUGAAAAACUAUGUUAGUUCGGCACAGUUACACACACGUGAGAAAGAGGGAGAGAGAGGAAGUAGGUCCUGCAGGAGAAGAAGGCCCAGGAGGGUAAGGUCGGCCAGCACACCUUGCCGCCCCCUGAACUGCCUCAGGAACCACCUCUCCCAUUCCGUGACCCUCACUUCCUUGUUUGUCCCCGACCCCCACCCCCCGCAAUGAUUUUGUAAUUUCCAACCCAUCCUUCCUGAGGAUAAAAGACACCAUGGGCGGGAUCCAUGAAUAAAAGUCGUUAUUUAUCGA